CUACUAUCUUCAACAUUUUUUCUAUAAUGGGUUGAUCAGAGUACCAAGUCAAUCCUUUGAUUUCCCGUGGCAAUAUAUGGCUUAAAAUCCAUAAAUACAACUGAUUACAACAUUUCCAACUUCCUUCACUCUUUUCUUGGCAAUAGGUCAAAGUAAAAAAGGUUUCAGUAAUAAUGGCAGAAAUUGGGUUUAUGCUUUGCCUUUCUACUGCCUAGAAUAUCUCCACCAUAUUUCAACUCACCACAUCCAAUGGUCCUGGUAGCAAGACUAACCCAUAAAUGCUCAAAGCAAGCGUCCUCAUAGCCAUCUCCAUCUUCCCAUUUUGAAUAUGCUGGUCAAAGAUUUUCUUAAUGUAGAUCCAAGACCACCCAUGGGAAUAACGCUUAAUAGCUUCCUUAGCUUUUGCCUCCUCCACUGAAAUGCCUACUAGGCUGGCAAACCGUUUCCAGGUUUGUCUAUAAUAAAGAUAGAGGUAUAUACGAUUCUGAGCUAUAUAAGGUAUCUCCAACAGUGACAGAUAUUCUUCUAUUAUCGGGGUCAUAUCAAUGCCAUUAAAGG
rnacentral:misc_RNA from 1 species